rnacentral:rRNA from 1 species
GAGACAGCAGCAGCCGCGGUAAAACGGAGGGUGCAAGCGUUAAUCGGAAUUACUGGGCGUAAAGCGCACGCAGGCGGUCUGACAAGUCAGAUGUGAAAUCCCCGGGCUUAACCUGGGAACUGCAUUUGAAACUGUCAGGCUGGAGUCUUGUAGAGGGGGGUGGAAUUCCAGGUGUAGCGGUGAAAUGCGUAGAGAUCUGGAGGAAUACCGGUGGCGAAGGCGGCCCCCUGGACAAAGACUGACGCUCAGGUGCGAAAGCGUGGGGAGCAAACAGGAUUAGAUACCCCAGUAGUCCCUGUCUCUUAUAC